UGUUUUCCAGCAAUAAUCCACUACUAGGUGCAGGAAGAAUAGACAAUUAUUUUCUUUACCAAGAAUUUAAAUUUUUACAGGAGGAAAGAAAAAUCCAGGAGGGUGGAAAUGUUUAUAAAGAAGAAUUUUAAUGAUGGACAAUGGAAUCUAAGCUGCAAGGAAGGAAAUAAGGGCAAGGUGGGUGGUUAGUAAUCAGAAAAUGGCCAAAAGAUUGAAUUUUCAGUGAAAGAAAAAAGUAGCUAGAGAUGGAAGAUGGAUCACGGGAGAGGCAAAUCUGGAAUGAUGGUAGGUAGUGGUCAUGAGUAGUGUGCUUACACUUGAUAUUUCAGAGACAGUGCCACUAUUGAAAUCAUGGAAUUAGGUUGCAUAAUGUAGGUUGCUCCUACAGCCAGGGAGACAUUGGUGUGGGAUCACCUACAGAAAUGAGGAAGACCAGCUGCACAAGAAUGGCAAUAAGAGUGGGACAAAGAAUACAAUGGGUCAGGUGCUAAAAUAAUCAAUUAAUUUGGAGAAGUAAACGGUGACUCUUGGAGGGCAGCAAUCAUGAAAGGCAGUGGGCAGUAAAAUCUGGUGUCACAAGCAUCCAAGGAUCUCGGAGUUUGAAGAAAAAUGCGGGAAAUAUCAUUUGGAAGAGCAAAGGGUAGUAAAGAGGUCACCUAUGUUUCCUGCAGUGUUUCCUGGGAUGUUAGAGAAUAACCAGUCUUUACUAAAAAUUGCUGCUCACCUAGUGGUAAGAGAUGUCCCAAAAGCAUCUGGUCAAGGAACUGCUUCUUGAACGGGUGGAAUAAGAGAACUUACUAUGACCAGAGUGGCAAUAUCAGGGGAUGUCAGAUUCAGUAAGUGUUUGAGAAAUGGUUGAGGAUAUUAGAGAGUUUGCUGACCAUCAAUAACAAGUUUAAAGGAUUGCAGAAUAAGGGUGUGCACCUGACUGAAGGCUCUAAGGAGCAUCACGUGGAUGAAGUUAGUGAUAAUCUGGGAGGCACAGGUGUUUCCUGUGACUGGGAUGUGAACCACGGGCACAUUAGACUCACCUUGGAGGAGCUGUGUAACCAGUUUCACUCGCAUGCUGGGGAGCCACGCAGUCUACUCUCUCCAGCAGCUCCUGAUGAGGUGAGGUGGUUAGUAGGUGACACUGAUCCAACCUGGCGAUGGAAUCCUCUCUGAAAAAUUAAGAAUAAUAGCACUGAGAGAAGGAAUUGAUGAGAAUAGUGGACAUGGAACCAAGAAGUCACAUAGAGUUGGAUCCAUUGUUGGCAG
rnacentral:lncRNA from 1 species